rnacentral:lncRNA from 1 species
CACCCACACUCUGCUCAUUGACCCCUGCCCAGCAUUGCUUCUGGCACUUACUUGCUAUGUCAUGGUCAGGUCCAAAGAUUAUUGAAUUGAGAACUUUACAUCUUGAGGGUUUUAAGGAACUUUCUUCCAGGUGAGAGGCUGACUGGUAUCUCUCCCUCCCCAAUAUUUCAUAACCCUAUGUCUCCCAGCUGUUGUCUUAUUAGAAUAUAUGUAUGUUUUCACAAUGCUUCUGCCAUUUGUGUGGUUUGGGGAAAUCACUUUACUUUUCUGGGGUCUGGUUUCCUCAGUGGUGAAAGGAGAUUGCAAUUGAUAUUGAAGGAAUUUCAAGCUCCAACACCAUGUGUUUCUCUGAGGUCUCACUUAAAGUGUGAAGUAAGGAUGUAAGGCAGGAUCAAAAUGCCUCAGGUUUCCCCCUUUCCUUCAGUUUACUUAUCUUGAACAAAGUUAACUAAAUGAAAUGAACUUAUUUUCCUUGGAAAAUGAUGUAUAUGUACAUAUGCAUAUAUACAUAUACGUACAUACACAUACAUAUUUAUGUGUAGGUAUAUAUUCUACAGUAGUUUGAAUUUUUAGUAAUGGUGGUAAGUGCCUUGAAGGAAGACUUUUGAUUUUGUAAAAAAAAAAAAAAAAAAAAAAAAANCAGUAAGAAGAGAAAACGUUCUGUUUUUUGACCUCUAAAAUUUUUGGACUGGACUGUCAAUUACAUUCUUAUUAUUGAGAUGGGUCUUGUGUAUGUAUAGAUGUGUUUGUUUUUAGUUUCAGCCUGCUAGGAAAACUGGAGAAAAGUGGUAGUCAUUACUUACUGGGAAACAUCUGUCAAUUUUUUUGUGGUACAGUGUACAUGUAUUUUAAUGACACUAUUUUAUAUUAGAUUUUGGCGAGAGAGCCCAAGACACUGGGAGAUAGAGUCGGAUGACCCACAGGAAAUGGGCCAGGUGGCUGACUGGUAAAGGAAAACACAAAUUUGGUUCAUAGAAGGAUUGAUAUAAUCUCAUUAAAAAUGUGUUUGCUGAGAAUGUAAAUUGGAAGGGAAAUUCUUGGGAUUGUUACUUUUUUUUUUCUUUUGGGAGGAGUGAAUAAAUAUGUGAUGUUAAUACAGCUUGGGUGUCCUUCCCUCCCAUUAUGAAGAUGCUGUCAGGAGAAGAUCACAGUGAUGAAGGAAAAGGAGGGCCCUUCCUCAUGGAGAGGAGAACCAUUCAGCUGUCCCUGUGCUCCAUCCUGUCCAAGGGCAGCUGAGAAGGGAGGGACACAGGUGACAACUCAGAGCCAAAUGGCCCCCCUCUAUUUUUAUUUCCCAGAUGGAGGUUGAAUGUUCUCAUUUUAGAGUCACUUGUUCCUUGCGAUUCUGAGACAGGAGAUGAUGGUUUCUCCUUCUCGAAACUCUAUUUCUUUCUUUCUUGUUCUGUAAAGAAAAGAAAAACAAAACACUAAGAUCAUUUCUCUGAGGUGUUCCUUACAUUCAGAAAAACCAUGCAUGGAUAGAGCUGUGUGCUGUAUGAAGGGGUGUGAGCUGCCCCACUCCUUCCCAGAGGUUGGAGAGGCUGCUGAGGAUACUUGUAGCCUGGGCAUUGGGGGGGAAUGAGGAUCGCUCAGGUAGGUACAGAAAGAUAAGUGUGAUGUGCCUGAGAAACAAGUAAAUAAUCCUGAAAUCCUUGGGGCACCACCCCAGAUAUCCAUUAUAAUCAAAGAGAGAGUGGCUGUUUGAUGCUCCAAUUCAUCCAUACAUUCACUCAUCUGCCCAAAGAUCCACUGAAUCAGUAUUCAUUCAUGAGCUCUUUUCUGUGUUGGGCACAGAUGCUCUGUGAGCAAACAAAAUAUGUCUACUAAGGGAAGAUGCGGUAACAAUAGCUUUGGCUCUGAGGUUUACAAUUUGCCUGACAUCGUGCUAAGUUAUUUACAGGCAUCAUUUCAUUUAAUCAUCCUUAUGACCCUAUUUUUUCAGAUGAGAAAACUGAGAUGCUGAGACUCUUAUGAGGCUUGCUCAAGAUCACAAGAUUGCAAGUGACAGAGCUAGUCAGUGUCAGAGUAAGAUUUGAACUUGGAACUGUCUUACUCUGGAACUUCCCAGAAAGAGGUCAUUGCACUAGAAAAUGAUCAAUAUAAAAAUGAAGCAUACCUGGGGAUGGAGGAAUCAAAGGAGAGGGAUUUGAUCCACUUUUGCAGGGGGGGUGUCAAGAAAGGCAUUUUGGACAUAGUGGUUCUUGAGGUUAACAUUAAACUAUGGACCUGAAAGAGAAGAUGGAGGGACUGUUGGAGAUUCUAGGCAGAAGGAAUAACUUGUGAAAACCAAGUGUGUGGGAGGAAUUACAAAUGCUUCUCUGUUUCUGAAACAUAACCAACAGUGCAAGGAGUGGUGGGAGAUAACCCAGUGAGGUGGGGUGGGGCCAGAUCAUGGCAGCUCUUUUAGAGUCUACAAUGGAUACAAUGCCAAAUGAUGAGUUUGGAUCUGUGCAGGAGUCUAGGAAAAAUGGACAUAGCAGGUGCAGUGGGAUGGGAAGGAGGGAAGAGGGGGAAGAUCUGAUGACUGAUUGGGUGGACAGAGGGAAUGAAAAAAAUGGAGAUGGUUACGAUGCUUCUCAGAAUUUUAGAUUGGUGUGUGGGAGUUCCCAUUGUGGCUCAGAGGGUUAAGAACCUGAUGCAGUCUCUGUGAGGAUGCAGACUUGAUCCCCGGCCUUGCUCAGUGGGUUAAGGAUCCAGCAUUGCCACAAGCUGUGGCAUAGGUUGUAAAUGUGGCUCGAAUCUGACAUUGCCAUAGCUGUAGCUCUGAUUCAAGCCCUAGCCUGGGAACUUCCAUAUGCCACAGGUGUGGCC